rnacentral:rRNA from 1 species
GAUGAACGCUGGCGGCGUGCCUAAUACAUGCAAGUCGAGCGAAGCGGGGACGGGUGAGUAACACGUGGAUAACCUCCUAUAAGACUGGGAUAACUUCGGGAAACCGGAGCUAAACCGGAUACUUAUAGCUGGAUCCGCGCUGCAUUAGCUAGUUGGUAAGGUAACGGCUUACCAAGGCAACGAUGCAUAGCCGACCUGAGAGUGUGGUCAGCCACACUGGAACUGAGACACAGCCCAGACGCCUACGGGAGGGAGGAGUAGGGAAUAUUCCGCAAUGGGCGAAAGCCUGACGGGGCAAGGCCGCGUGAAUGAUGAAGGGCGUCGGAUCGUAAAGCGCUAUUAGAAGGGAAGCGGAAACUAAGGAGAAAGCCACGACUAACUACGUGCCAGCAGACGCGGUAAUGA